UACGGAGGAUGCGAGCGUUAUCCGGAUUUAUUGGGUUUAAAGGGUGCGUAGGCGGGCUUUUAAGUCAGCGGUAAAAAUUCGGGGCUCAACCCCGUCCGGCCGUUGAAACUGGGAGUCUUGAGUGGGCGAGAAGAAGGCGGAAUGCGUGGUGUAGCGGUGAAAUGCAUAGAUAUCACGCAGAACCCCGAUUGCGAAGGCAGCCUUCCGGCGCCCUACUGACGCUGAGGCACGAAAGUGCGGGGAUCGAACAGG
rnacentral:rRNA from 1 species